UAUAGAUAUUUAUGUGUUCGUAAAGAACAUCUUAUUUCUGUUACGUGAAUAAUUUGACUAACGUUUAUUCUGGAGAAAUAAGUCGACAUCUAUGCACGCGAGAAAUAUGCACCCGCCCGUUACCGAGAGUUUCCAACUCCGGGCAUUAUGCCACCUAUCAGAACGAUACCCGGUCGUUCGUACGAUCGAAUCACGAGAACUGAGGGGAAGAAAAGAUUGGCAGUUUCGAAAUUGGCAUAUUAUAGACCCUUCGCCGGACACGAGCGAUGACGGACUUUCAGCUUUUCCGCAGUCGCGAAAAAUCACGAGCCGCAAUCACAUCGUCCGAUCGUACUGACAGUCAGAUCGAGAAAGAGAAGACAUGGAACAUCAAGUGUACGCUGAUAAGGAAUACGACAAUUUAAUCAAGCCCAUCAUGAUAGUCACCAAAAUCGCGUCAUUCUGGCCUUUGGAGAGGGAUCAUUCGACCAGCAUGAAGCUGUUCAAGAUUUGUCACGUGCUCUUUCUCGUUGCUCUAUUCACCAUAAUGUGUACCGUCAUAAUAGCUGAUAUAAUUCACCACUUAAACGAUUUGGACGAACUGACGGCAUGCGCUUUAACAGCAUGCGCAUUUUUUCUUGAUAUAAUACGCCUCAUUGUUUUCUCGACUCAUCAAAAAGAUAUGUCGUACGUGGUCGAGACUAUGAGAAAGGAUUGGACUUGUUCAGUUCAUGAAAACAGAGCUAUUCUAAAGGAGAAGUGCCUUUUUGCAUUCUGGGUCUCAAAAUGUUUCAUAACUAUGGUAACUGUAACUAUAAUUAUAUUCGCAUGUUCGCCAAUUUUAGAGACAUAUUUUCAUGGAAAGGAAAGAAUCUUCCCUUACCGUGGUUAUUUCUUUGCCAAUCAAACGGUUUCACCCUACUAUGAAUAUAUCUAUAUCUUCAAUAUAAUGGGCGGACUUUUCGGAUGUUCUCUGAUAUGCGGCGCAACUACUUUUAAUUUUAUCGUAGUAACACACGGAUCAGCGAAAUUCGCGGUGCUGCGAAAGAAUCUAGAGGCAAUAAACAGUAAUAAUUCCGACGCUAAUAUAGCAAUGGUUAACUGUAUUAAGGAACAUCAAGAUGUUAUUGCUUUCGCGGAUGCGCUCGAAAGAAUCAUAAACGUCUUGGCGUUAGCGCAGUUCAUUCUCAGCACCGGAUUGUUCUGCUUCGCAGGAUUUCAAAUUACUUCGUUGUUGCAAGACAAACACCGCUUGAUGCAAUACACGAUGUUCCUGAAUUCCGCCAUCCUCGAGCUUUUUAUGUUCAGUAUUAGCGGAAAUGCGUUAAUAGACGAGGCGAGUAUUCUAAUAAUUAUAUUAUUCGAUCAAAGCUAUAAAUCUCGAUAAACAAAAUAGUUAUUUUAAUUAUCCAUAAUUAAUCGGUUAAUUUUUACCGUGAGUUAAGUCACUAGUUAUUUAGGAUUGUCACACACAAAAUGCAUAGUUUCAUAUGCAUAGCAUAAGAUCGUCUGGACCAACAAGCAUCUAAUCGACGCUUUCGUUAUGCUCCGUGAGUCAAUAUGGCGACUUUAUGACGACCAGAUGUUCAUUGAUCGAGAUAUAGUUAUGCUAUGUGCUAUGUUCUAUACAUUUCCUGUGUGACAGGUGUUAUUGCCAAAAUAAAACAUAGAAGUCAUCAUUAUAAAAAUCAAAUUAACAGUAACGCAAUUAACAGUGACGCAAAAUUAAUUUUUUUACAAAAUUUAUGUGUCUUGUUAGUUCACAUUAUAUGUUAUAUACAUAUAUAAGUUUUCGUGGAUCAUUAGAUGUCACAUAUGUCGGAUUGCACGUAUAUAUCGCCAAUUGCACAAGUUUAAACGAACAAUAGAAGACUCAGUGUGCACGAUAAUCAUAUCGACCGAUUACCAACGCAUGUAUAUCCUGAUUAGUACACAGUUCGUUGAGCUUACAAUCGCCUGUAAUUAAUUUACGGCCAACGCUUGUAACGAAUCAGAGCGAUGCCGUGGGCGAGUCGGCUUACUGUAGCCGCUGGUUCGGCGGCACUUUCGGUCGCAACUUGCAGAUCGUGAUGAUGCGAUCGAAAGUCCCUUCCAAGAUCACCGCCGCAAAGUUCUACAGUAUGUCUCUCAGAAGUUUCUCUCAAGUGCUCAGCACAUCAUUCUCUUAUAUAAUGGUUCUGUUGUCCGUAAGCGAGAACUAAGGAGCAGCAGCAUAGGCAAUCCUAACGCCGGCUCUAUUUCACAGAGAAUACGUUAGUCGUUCCGCUAGACCGAAAAUAUCAUAUGGAGAUCAAAAUGGGAUCCCGCUUGAGAGUCGUGUAUUUAUUUUUAAGCGUAUUUUUAAGGUAGCAUAAGAGACAAAUAAAGCGUUUCAAAGGAAUCGAAAUAAAGGCCAUGCGCGGUGAAAUGGAUUAUAUGCGCAUAAGAGGAACAAGUCGCGAUGACCCGAAAGGGACUUCUUAGUCGACUGUUCUUUGUUAAAUAUGAGAGGAUGUAAUUUUUUUCUCGUGAAUGAACAUAGGCACAGCAAAUUACCUUCUGCAGAUUAACUCUCCGCUUGUAAACCAGCGUUAAGUCGCGGUCGUCAUCGGCGUGCAACACGGUGACCCCGUAACUUCUUUGAACAUCGAGAUGCCAGUGACUAUGCCUUCGUUGUAUGGGAGUAGCGUAAUCAAUAGCACCGCAACAGCAAUUUGUUCUUGCUCGUUUUAUCGCGAGUUCUGCCUGCUAAAUUACAGGACGAUCUGUAAGUCGCGACUUGUUCCAUGAUAAGAAAUUUAAAUGAUGAACUUGAAACCGUGCAUCAUUUGUAAGCAUUUUCUUGGCUACUUUUCAUUUUCAUAGAGUUAAAGGUAGACUCUAACAAAGGAUCUAUUAUAUGUAUAUUCUCUGUUGAUAUUUCACAAUAUUAUAUUUUUUGAGGAUUUCAACCAGUUCUUGAAUUUAUAAAUCAACAAAUACACAAAGUUUUAAGAUUCUUAGGUUUUUUUAUUUCGACUCGUAGGAUUUUCUCUUAUACAUAUAUUUAGAUCUUUGUACGCUUGUGCUUUUAAAGUGUUAAUCUGAACUCUUAGUUUCAAAGUUCUCGAAGUUUUUAUAUUUUUGAAUUCGUAAGCUCUUGAAUAGACAUAGACCUAGUUUACACCGAGCACUUAGUACGCGUAUCAAAUAGUAAAUAACUAGUAAAUGUGUUUAAUCAUUGGCUGAUCAGCUUAAAUUCAUUACUUGAUACGCGUACCAAGUGCUCGGUGUAAACUAGAGCAUAGAUCUUCAGUUCUGACAUCCCCUUGAGUACUCAGCUCUAGCAAGCACUUAAUCUCGCAUUCACAAAUCCUUGGUACCUCUGAUGACAAACUCGAUGUGGCAAGCUGCCCGAAAUUGGUUUUUCCAAAUCAGCGUGACUACCAUCUGACAUUUUAUGGAACGCAUUGGAUACAUAAUUAACCGGUGAUUUGUGGUGUUCUCUUUUUCAUGUUGAUGUUGUCGCGGGCAAAGAAUCGAAUAAUGUCCAGGCAAAAUGGCACAAUGAGUUCGGUUGAAAUCCUCACUAAACUCGCUUAUUUGCUCACUCCUGGUGAGGUAAACCAAGAAGCGGAAUGGUCUCGGGAACGACUCGAGGAUAUUUUCAUCGCAACAGUGCAACACGUGCACCCGGUACUACCCGGUGCACGCAUUUGUCUCCAUCACUUUUGACCAGCUUGCGCUACCAAAAUUUCAUAUUACGUACGUAUAAUAUAUUUCAUUGCUCAACGAAAACGUAAAAAGGUGGUAGUUUCUUUCGUCAGGAGAAAAAUGUAAAAAGAUUUUUAUUAAUGUAAAAUAAAAGAAUAAGAAUAUGUGA